AGCUCCAGUAGCGUAUAUUAAAGUUGUUGCAGUUAAAAAGCUCGUAGUUGGAUUUCUGGUGUGGGAUGCCUGGCCCGCCGCGAUACGCGUGUGAGUGCUGGCGCGUCCCCGCCAUCCUUUCAGAGACCGUUUCUGCCCUUUAUUGGGUUGGAGACGUGGAUCUGGAUCUUUUACUUUGAAAAAAUUAGAGUGUUCAAGGCAGGCUCGCGCUGUGAAUACAUUAGCAUGGAAUAAUAACAUAGGACUCUGGUUCUAUUUUGUUGGUUUCUAGGACUGAAGUAAUGAUUGAUAGGGAUAGUUGGGGGUGCUCGUAUUUAGCGGCCAGAGGUGAAAUUCUUGGAUUCGCUAAAGACGGACUUAUGCGAAAGCAUUCACCAAGGAUGUCUUCU
rnacentral:rRNA from 1 species